rnacentral:rRNA from 1 species
GGCGGGACACGUGGUAUCCUGUCUGAAUAUGGGGGGACCAUCCUCCAAGGCUAAAUACUCCUGACUGACCGAUAGUGAACCAGUACCGUGAGGGAAAGGCGAAAAGAACCCCGGCGAGGGGAGUGAAACAGAACCUGAAACCGUGUACGUACAAGCAGUGGGAGCACAGGUUUACCUGUGUGACUGCGUACCUUUUGUAUAAUGGGUCAGCGACUUAUAUUCUGUAGCAAGGUUAACCGCAUAGGGGAGC